rnacentral:miRNA from 1 species
CGUAAGAUACGUCUCAUCGAGC